AUACGGAGGGUGCGAGCGUUAAUCGGAAUUACUGGGCGUAAAGCGUGCGGAGGCGGUUUGUUAAGUCAGAAGUGAAAGCCCUGGGCUCAACCUGGGAACGGCUUUUGAGACUGGCAGACUAGAGUUGAGUAGAGGGGAGUGGAAUUUCCGGUGUAGCGGUGAAAUGCGUAGAGAUCGGAAGGAACACCAGUGGCGAAGGCGACUCCCUGGACUCAAACUGACGCUGAGGUACGAAAGCGUGGGUAGCAAACAGGAUUAGAUACCCUAGUAGUCC
rnacentral:rRNA from 1 species